rnacentral:rRNA from 1 species
UUUCGCAUGAAACCACUAUUAAAGUCACAACGGUGAAAGAUGAGCAUGCGUCCCAUUAGCUAGUUGGUAAGGUAACGGCUUACCAAGGCAACGAUGGGUAGGGGUCCUGAGAGGGAGAUCCCCCACACUGGUACUGAGACACGGACCAGACUCCUACGGGAGGCAGCAGUGAGGAAUAUUGGACAAUGGGCGCAAGCCUGAUCCAGCCAUGCCGCGUGCAGGAUGACGGUCCUAUGGAUUGUAAACUGCUUUUAUACGAGAAGAAACCCUCCGACGUGUCGGAGCUUGACGGUAUCGUAAGAAUAAGGAUCGGCUAACUCCGUGCCAGCAGCCGCGGUAAUACGGAGGAUCCAAGCGUUAUCCGGAAUCAUUGGGUUUAAAGGGUCCGUAGGCGGUCAGGUAAGUCAGUGGUGAAAGCCCAUCGCUCAACGGUGGAACGGCCAUUGAUACUGUCUGACUUGAAUUAUUAGGAAGUAACUAGAAUAUGUAGUGUAGCGGUGAAAUGCUUAGAGAUUACAUGGAAUACCAAUUGCGAAGGCAGGUUACUACUAAUGGAUUGACGCUGAUGGAC